GUUAUAUGGUCAAGUGAAGAAGCGCAUACGGUGGAUGCCUUGGCAGUCAGAGGCGAUGAAAGACGUGGUAGCCUGCGAAAAGCUUCGGGGAGUCGGCAAACAGACUGUGAUCCGGAGAUGUCUGAAUGGGGGAACCCAGCCAUCAUAAGAUGGUUAUCUUGUACUGAAUACAUAGGUGCAAGAGGCGAACCAGGGGAACUGAAACAUCUAAGUACCCUGAGGAAAAGAAAUCAACCGAGAUUCCCUUAGUAGUGGCGAGCGAACGGGGACCAGCCCUUAAGUUGUAUUGAGAUUAGCGGAACGUUCUGGAAAGGACGGCCAUAGUGGGUGAUAGCCCUGUACGCGAAAAUCCCUUUGCAAUGAAAUCGAGUAGGACGGGGCACGAGAAACCUUGUCUGAAUAUGGGGGGACCAUCCUCCAAGGCUAAAUACUACUGACUGACCGAUAGUGAACCAGUACCGUGAGGGAAAGGCGAAAAGAACCGCGGAGAGCGGAGUGAAAUAGAUCCUGAAACCGUAUGCGUACAAGCAGUGGGAGCCCACUUUGUUGGGUGACUGCGUACCUUUUGUAUAAUGGGUCAGCGACUUAUUUUCAGUGGCGAGCUUAACCGAAUAGGGGAGGCGUAGCGAAAGCGAGUCUUAAUAGGGCGUCUAGUCGCUGGGAAUAGACCCGAAACCGGGCGAUCUAUCCAUGGGCAGGUUGAAGGUUGGGUAACACUAACUGGAGGACCGAACCGACUACCGUUGAAAAGUUAGCGGAUGACCUGUGGAUCGGAGUGAAAGGCUAAUCAAGCUCGGAGAUAGCUGGUUCUCCUCGAAAGCUAUUUAGGUAGCGCCUCAUGUAUCACUGUAGGGGGUAGAGCACUGUUUCGGCUAGGGGGUCAUCCCGACUUACCAAACCGAUGCAAACUCCGAAUACCUACAAGUGCCGAGCAUGGGAGACACACGGCGGGUGCUAACGUCCGUCGUGAAAAGGGAAACAACCCAGACCGUCAGCUAAGGUCCCAAAGUCAUGGUUAAGUGGGAAACGAUGUGGGAAGGCUUAGACAGCUAGGAGGUUGGCUUAGAAGCAGCCACCCUUUAAAGAAAGCGUAAUAGCUCACUAGUCGAGUCGGCCUGCGCGGAAGAUGUAACGGGGCUCAAACCAUGCACCGAAGCUACGGGUAUCAUCUUUUGAUGAUGCGGUAGAGGAGCGUUCUGUAAGCCUGUGAAGGUGAGUUGAGAAGCUUGCUGGAGGUAUCAGAAGUGCGAAUGCUGACAUGAGUAACGACAAUGGGUGUGAAAAACACCCACGCCGAAAGACCAAGGUUUCCUGCGCAACGUUAAUCGACGCAGGGUUAGUCGGUCCCUAAGGCGAGGCUGAAAAGCGUAGUCGAUGGAAAACAGGUUAAUAUUCCUGUACUUCUGGUUAUUGCGAUGGAGGGACGGAGAAGGCUAGGCCAGCCUGGCGUUGGUAGUCCAGGUUUAAGGUGGUAGGCUGAGAUCUUAGGUAAAUCCGGGAUCUUAAGGCCGAGAGCUGAUGACGAGUGUUCUUUUAGAACACGAAGUGGUUGAUGCCAUGCUUCCAAGAAAAGCUUCUAAGCUUCAGGUAACCAGGAACCGUACCCCAAACCGACACAGGUGGUUGGGUAGAGAAUACCAAGGCGCUUGAGAGAACUCGGGUGAAGGAACUAGGCAAAAUGGCACCGUAACUUCGGGAGAAGGUGCGCCGGUGGAGGUGAAGCAUUUACUGCGUAAGCCCCUGCCGGUCGAAGAUACCAGGCCGCUGCGACUGUUUAUUAAAAACACAGCACUCUGCAAACACGAAAGUGGACGUAUAGGGUGUGACGCCUGCCCGGUGCCGGAAGGUUAAUUGAUGGGGUUAGCGCAAGCGAAGCUCUUGAUCGAAGCCCCGGUAAACGGCGGCCGUAACUAUAACGGUCCUAAGGUAGCGAAAUUCCUUGUCGGGUAAGUUCCGACCUGCACGAAUGGCGUAACGAUGGCGGCGCUGUCUCCACCCGAGACUCAGUGAAAUUGAAAUCGCUGUGAAGAUGCAGUGUAUCCGCGGCUAGACGGAAAGACCCCGUGAACCUUUACUAUAGCUUUGCACUGGACUUUGAAUUUGCUUGUGUAGGAUAGGUGGGAGGCUUUGAAGCGUGGACGCCAGUCUGCGUGGAGCCAACCUUGAAAUACCACCCUGGCAACUUUGAGGUUCUAACUCAGGUCCGUUAUCCGGAUCGAGGACAGUGUAUGGUGGGUAGUUUGACUGGGGCGGUCUCCUCCUAAAGAGUAACGGAGGAGUACGAAGGUGCGCUCAGACCGGUCGGAAAUCGGUCGUAGAGUAUAAAGGCAAAAGCGCGCUUGACUGCGAGACAGACACGUCGAGCAGGUACGAAAGUAGGUCUUAGUGAUCCGGUGGUUCUGUAUGGAAGGGCCAUCGCUCAACGGAUAAAAGGUACUCCGGGGAUAACAGGCUGAUACCGCCCAAGAGUUCAUAUCGACGGCGGUGUUUGGCACCUCGAUGUCGGCUCAUCACAUCCUGGGGCUGAAGCCGGUCCCAAGGGUAUGGCUGUUCGCCAUUUAAAGUGGUACGCGAGCUGGGUUUAGAACGUCGUGAGACAGUUCGGUCCCUAUCUGCCGUGGACGUUUGAGAUUUGAGAGGGGCUGCUCCUAGUACGAGAGGACCGGAGUGGACGAACCUCUGGUGUUCCGGUUGUCACGCCAGUGGCAUUGCCGGGUAGCUAUGUUCGGAAAAGAUAACCGCUGAAAGCAUCUAAGCGGGAAACUUGCCUCAAGAUGAGAUCUCACUGGAACCUUGAGUUCCCUAAAGGGCCGUCGAAGACUACGACGUUGAUAGGUUGGGUGUGUAAGCGCUGUGAGGCGUUGAGCUAACCAAUACUAAUUGCCCGUGAGGCUUGACCAUAUAACACCCAAGCA
rnacentral:rRNA from 3 species